rnacentral:rRNA from 1 species
AUUGAACGCUGGCGGCAGGUCUAACACAUGCAAGUCGAACGGUAACAGGAAGAAGCUUGCUUCUUUGCUGACGAGUGGCGGACGGGUGAGUAAUGUCUGGGAAACUGCCUGAUGGAGGGGGAUAACUACUGGAAACGGUAGCUAAUACCGCAUAACGUCGCAAGACCAAAAAGGGGGACCUUCGGGCCUCUUGCCAUCGGAUGUGCCCAGAUGGGAUUAGCUAGUAGGUGGGGUAACGGCUCACCUAGGCGACGAUCCCUAGCUGGUCUGAGAGGAUGACCAGCCACACUGGAACUGAGACACGGUCCAGACUCCUACGGGAGGCAGCAGUGGGGAAUAUUGCACAAUGGGCGCAAGCCUGAUGCAGCCAUGCCGCGUGUAUGAAGAAGGCCUUCGGGUUGUAAAGUACUUUCAGCGGGGAGGAAGGGAGUAAAGUUAAUACCUUUGCUCAUUGACGUUACCCGCAGAAGAAGCACCGGCUAACUCCGUG